rnacentral:rRNA from 1 species
CUAACAAGGAUUCCCCUAGUAACGGCGAGUGAAGCGGGAAGAGCUCAAAUUUGAAAUCUGGCGGCCUCAGGUCGUCCGAGUUGUAGUCUGGAGAAGCGUUUUCUGCGCCGGACCGUGUACAAGUCCCUUGGAACAGGGCGUCAUAGAGGGUGAGAAUCCCGUCUUUGACACGGGCCUGCCGGUGCUUUGUGAUGCGCUCUCGAAGAGUCGAGUUGUUUGGGAAUGCAGCUCAAAACGGGUGGUAAAUUCCAUCUAAAGCUAAAUAUUGGCGAAAGACCGAUAGCGAACAAGUACCGUGAGGGAAAGAUGAAAAGCACUUUGGAAAGAGAGUUAAACAGUACGUGAAAUUGUUGAAAGGGAAACGCUUGAAGUCAGUCGCGUCUUCCGGGACUCAGCCUUGCUUUUGCUYGGUGUAUUUCCUGGGGUGACGGGCCAGCAUCGAUUUCGACCGUCGGAGAAAGGCUUUGGGAAUGUGGCACCUUCGGGUGUGUUAUAGCCCUUGGUCGCAUGCGACGGUUGGGAUCGAGGAUCGCAGCACGCCUUCAAUGGCCGGGGUUYGCCCACGUAACGUGCUUAGGAUGCUGGCGUAAUGGCUUUAAACGACCCGUCUUG